CCCCCUGUGGCUCAGUUGGUAGAGCAUGGUGUUUGCAACGCCAGCAUGGCGUGUGCAACGCCAGGGUUGUGGGUUUGAUUCCCACGGGGGGC
rfam:Salmo salar isolate Sally breed double haploid chromosome ssa05, whole genome shotgun sequence.